rnacentral:rRNA from 1 species
UAUGUGAUCGUCUCUCGCAUAUCAAUAAGCGGAGGAAAAGAAACUAACAAGGAUUCCCCUAGUAACGGCGAGUGAAGCGGGAAGAGCUCAAAUUUGAAAUCUUAAAGGGUUUCCCUUUACGAAUUGUAGUUUAAAGAAGUGUUUUCUGUUGAGGUUUUGGUAAAAGUUCUUUGGAAUAGGACAUCAUAGAGGGUGAGAAUCCCGUAUUUGACCUUUACUUUCAACUUUGUGAUACACUUUCAAAGAGUCGGAUUGUUUGGGAAUGCAGUCCAAAAUGGGUGGUAAAUUUCAUCUAAAGCUAAAUAUUGGCGAGAGACCGAUAGCGAACAAGUACCGUGAGGGAAAGAUGAAAAGAACUUUGAAAAGAGAGUUAAACAGUACGUGAAAUUGUCAAGAGGGAAGCGUUUGACACCAGUGUUGUUUUUCUGAGAAUCAAUUAAAGAACUGUUUAUGCUAAGCUGUUUAGACUUUAUCAGCUAUCUGUUUAGUUUUGAGCUUUUCUUUAAUGCACUUUUCAGUUAACAAGUCAACAUCAAUUUCUUUUGCUGUAAAAAAGCUUGAGGAAGGUGGCUUGAGAUUCGUCUUAAGUGUUUAUAGCCUCUUGCCUAUGCAGUCGGAGAGAUUGAGGUCUGCAGCGUAGAUCCUUCGGGGCUAAAUGCAUUUGUGCUAAGUUAUAGCAUUUUAUAGACAACUUGUUGACUAUGAUUUGUCUUGUAGCUUACUCGCUUAUGUUAUUUUACCUACGCUUAGGAUGUUGAAGACUCUACAGAGAUA